GGGUUGUGAGGUUAAGCGACUAAGCGUACACGGUGGAUGCCCUGGCAGUCAGAGGCGAUGAAGGGCGUACUAAUCUGCGAUAAGCGCCGGUAAGGUGAUAUGAACCGUUAUAACCGGCGAUACCCGAAUGGGGAAACCCAGUGUGAUUCGUCACACUAUCAUUAACUGAAUCCAUAGGUUAAUGAGGCGAACCGGGGGAACUGAAACAUCUAAGUACCCCGAGGAAAAGAAAUCAACCGAGAUUCCCCCAGUAGCGGCGAGCGAACGGGGAGGAGCCCAGAGCCUGAAUCAGCAUGUGUGUUAGUGGAAGCGUCUGGAAAGGCGCGCGAUACAGGGUGACAGCCCCGUACACAAAAGCGCAUGUGCUGUGAGCUCGAUGAGUAGGGCGGGACACGUGGUAUCCUGUCUGAAUAUGGGGGGACCAUCCUCCAAGGCUAAAUACUCCUGACUGACCGAUAGUGAACCAGUACCGUGAGGGAAAGGCGAAAAGAACCCCGGCGAGGGGAGUGAAAAAGAACCUGAAACCGUGUACGUACAAGCAGUGGGAGCACCCUUUGGGUGUGACUGCGUACCUUUUGUAUAAUGGGUCAGCGACUUAUAUUCUGUAGCAAGGUUAACCGAAUAGGGGAGCCGGAGGGAAACCGAGUCUUAAUUGGGCGUUAAGUUGCAGGGUAUAGACCCGAAACCCGGUGAUCUAGCCAUGGGCAGGUUGAAGGGUGGGUAACACUAACUGGAGGACCGAACCGACUAAUGUUGAAAAAUUAGCGGAUGACCUGUGGCUGGGGGUGAAAGGCCAAUCAAACCGGGAGAUAGCUGGUUCUCCCCGAAAGCUAUUUAGGUAGCGCCUCGUGAAUUCAUCUCCGGGGGUAGAGCACUGUUUCGGCUAGGGGGCCAUCCCGGCUUACCAACCCGAUGCAAACUGCGAAUACCGGAGAAUGUUAUCACGGGAGACACACGGCGGGUGCUAACGUCCGUCGUGAAGAGGGAAACAACCCAGACCGCCAGCUAAGGUCCCAAAGUCAUGGUUAAGUGGGAAACGAUGUGGGAAGGCCCAGACAGCCAGGAUGUUGGCUUAGAAGCAGCCAUCAUUUAAAGAAAGCGUAAUAGCUCACUGGUCGAGUCGGCCUGCGCGGAAGAUGUAACGGGGCUAAACCAUGCACCGAAGCUGCGGCAGCGACACUGUGUGUUGUUGGGUAGGGGAGCGUUCUGUAAGCCUGUGAAGGUGUGUCGUGAGGCAUGCUGGAGGUAUCAGAAGUGCGAAUGCUGACAUAAGUAACGAUAAAGCGGGUGAAAAGCCCGCUCGCCGGAAGACCAAGGGUUCCUGUCCAACGUUAAUCGGGGCAGGGUGAGUCGACCCCUAAGGCGAGGCCGAAAGGCGUAGUCGAUGGGAAACGGGUUAAUAUUCCCGUACUUGGUGUUACUGCGAAGGGGGGACGGAGAAGGCUAUGUUGGCCGGGCGACGGUUGUCCCGGUUUAAGCGUGUAGGUGUGUGUUCCAGGUAAAUCCGGUUCACUUUAACACUGAGGCGUGACGACGAGGCACUACGGUGCUGAAGCAACAAAUGCCCUGCUUCCAGGAAAAGCCUCUAAGCAUCAGGUAACAUCAAAUCGUACCCCAAACCGACACAGGUGGUCAGGUAGAGAAUACCAAGGCGCUUGAGAGAACUCGGGUGAAGGAACUAGGCAAAAUGGUGCCGUAACUUCGGGAGAAGGCACGCUGACACGUAGGUGAAGUGAUUUACUCAUGGAGCUGAAGUCAGUCGAAGAUACCAGCUGGCUGCAACUGUUUAUUAAAAACACAGCACUGUGCAAACACGAAAGUGGACGUAUACGGUGUGACGCCUGCCCGGUGCCGGAAGGUUAAUUGAUGGGGUCAGCGCAAGCGAAGCUCCUGAUCGAAGCCCCGGUAAACGGCGGCCGUAACUAUAACGGUCCUAAGGUAGCGAAAUUCCUUGUCGGGUAAGUUCCGACCUGCACGAAUGGCGUAAUGAUGGCCAGGCUGUCUCCACCCGAGACUCAGUGAAAUUGAACUCGCUGUGAAGAUGCAGUGUACCCGCGGCAAGACGGAAAGACCCCGUGAACCUUUACUAUAGCUUGACACUGAACAUUGAGCCUUGAUGUGUAGGAUAGGUGGGAGGCUUUGAAGUGUGGACGCCAGUCUGCAUGGAGCCGACCUUGAAAUACCACCCUUUAAUGUUUGAUGUUCUAACGUGGACCCGUUACCCGGGUUGCGGACAGUGUCUGGUGGGUAGUUUGACUGGGGCGGUCUCCUCCUAAAGAGUAACGGAGGAGCACGAAGGUUGGCUAAUCCUGGUCGGACAUCAGGAGGUUAGUGCAAUGGCAUAAGCCAGCUUGACUGCGAGCGUGACGGCGCGAGCAGGUGCGAAAGCAGGUCAUAGUGAUCCGGUGGUUCUGAAUGGAAGGGCCAUCGCUCAACGGAUAAAAGGUACUCCGGGGAUAACAGGCUGAUACCGCCCAAGAGUUCAUAUCGACGGCGGUGUUUGGCACCUCGAUGUCGGCUCAUCACAUCCUGGGGCUGAAGUAGGUCCCAAGGGUAUGGCUGUUCGCCAUUUAAAGUGGUACGCGAGCUGGGUUUAGAACGUCGUGAGACAGUUCGGUCCCUAUCUGCCGUGGGCGCUGGAGAACUGAGGGGGGCUGCUCCUAGUACGAGAGGACCGGAGUGGACGCAUCACUGGUGUUCGGGUUGUCAUGCCAAUGGCACUGCCCGGUAGCUAAAUGCGGAAGAGAUAAGUGCUGAAAGCAUCUAAGCACGAAACUUGCCCCGA
rnacentral:rRNA from 1 species